UACGUAGGUGGCAAGCGUUAUCCGGAUUUAUUGGGCGUAAAGGGAACGCAGGCGGUCUUUUAAGUCUGACGUGAAAGCCUUCGGCUUAACCGGAGUAGUGCAUUGGAAACUGGGAGACUUGAGUGCAGAAGAGGAGAGUGGAACUCCAUGUGUAGCGGUGAAAUGCGUAGAUAUAUGGAAGAACACCAGUGGCGAAAGCGGCCCUCUGGUCUGUAACUGACGCUGAGGUUCGAAAGCGUGGGUAGCAAACAGG
rnacentral:rRNA from 1 species